AUACGUAGGUGGCAAGCGUUGUCCGGAUUUAUUGGGCGUAAAGCGAGCGCAGGCGGUUUUUUAAGUCUGAUGUGAAAGCCUUCGGCUCAACCGAAGAAGUGCAUCGGAAACUGGGAAACUUGAGUGCAGAAGAGGACAGUGGAACUCCAUGUGUAGCGGUGAAAUGCGUAGAUAUAUGGAAGAACACCAGUGGCGAAGGCGGCUGUCUAGUCUGUAACUGACGCUGAGGCUCGAAAGCCAGGGGAGC
rnacentral:rRNA from 1 species